CGCUGCGAUCCCGCAUCCCCUACAAUCACGGAAGGCAAUGAUCCUGAUGCUGAAAUCACGCAAAUAAUUUCCUUCUAUGCAUCAUGUCCUGCCUCCUGCCGCUUCUAAGCUCAAACACACGCACAGGAAAGCCUCAUCGUGGGUCAUCUAAAAAGUUACAGACGCUACAAUCAGGCACCCCCGCUGCCGUCCUUUGGAGCGGCUCGCCCCCCGGCGGUCCUCCACUCGGCCACCACCUCGGCCACCGCCUAACGCACACCAGCUUCUCUUUAAGCGCGGAGUCCGCGACUGCUGGCCGUGCGGGAGAGUGCGGGUCCCGUGGCUCGAGGCGGUCGGGGAUGCGGGGAUCCAGGUGUCGGCGGAGGAUCUCGCCGGAUCCGUUCAAGGCGACGGCGGCGACGGCUUGUGGCGAAGCGAGGAGACACGGAGGAGCCCGGGAAGGACGCAGCGCUUCUGUCAGUGCUGGGAAGAUGCGGAGGCGACCGGAUCCGGGGCGGCGGCGGCGGUCGCAGUUGCAGUCGACUUCGGUGGUAGAUCGUCUCCAGCAUUUCCGACACAAACAAGGCCGUCGGGAGGUCCUGGCUCGCCAACCAGCAACUGGACGGUAAAGCCUGGUGACACGUGGGCGGAACCUCAUCCCACUGCCCCCGCAGGCAUUCAAGGGCAUCAAGCAGAUGGAGUUCAUCAAGACCUGUAUUCUUUUGACCCCUUUUGUGAAAGGUAAAGAAUGUUGCUGGAGACUAUACAACAUAUAUGCUAUACAACCAACCUCCCCAGCGACGUGUACCAAGACUUCAUCAAGACCACGACCGAGAUUCGAAAAAACAGUGCUGACCUUGAUGUUGAAAAAAGGAACAUCUGCCCUGAAAACUGCAUAGAGGCGGCACUGAAACUAUCCCAGGGCUGGGCUACAGUUAAACAGGGCUACUUGAACUUUACUGAAGGUCGUAGCCCCGUCGAAGGCAAUGGCAAUGUAGAUGCUGAUGUCAAAGCCCUUGUUGUCAACCCCUUGAUACAAAAACUAAUGGAUAUUCUUUCCAGACCUGUAGGUGCUGAAAAGGUUCUCAUGGUUGCUCCUUGUGUUUGCCUGUGGUUGCUAACUUGGUAUUCGAUUACCUCAUGACUGCAGUCAUACCCUUACAUGAGCGACAAUGAUUAUUCUGCUUUUUUGCAAACCACGCAAGAUUUUUGUAGCGACAGGACCAUCACCCCUCGAGAAAUUUACAAAAACGUGCCUAUUAGUUCUUCUGAAACUUUGUGCUAUGUAAUUCUGCAGUGAUUUCUCUGAGGAAGAUUUGAAAUAAUGGGGCGUCUGAUUUAUAAUUCCUUCUUCGUAGGUGAACAGAUGUAUGAGUAACUGUCAAGUUGUUGGAAUAGUUUGUGCAUAAUUAUCUCCCUACAGACCUAAAGGCCUCUUUCUAAGGGUUAAAGCAUAUGAUAAUCACAACUUGGAUAGUAUCCAUAUGAAAGAAGGUAACAUCAUUAUGCCGCCGCUUGAAGAUAAACAAGCAUUUACUCUUUAUUGAUGAUGAUCCUGAGCGUGAUGAUCUGUUGGUGAGUCAGAAUAAUUCUUACAGAUCGAAGUUGGCACCAAUCGUAUGUGGGUUUAAAAAAUAUGAAAUUAUGAGAAUAGACAAAAACGCUCAUUGUUAAAAUUAUUUGUGUGUUUCUAAGUAGAGUUGUCGAAUGUGGUGGUAUCCAUAUGAUUGGUGUCUCGGAUAUAAAUUGUCUUCUUAGGAUGAGUUGAAUUGUCGAAUUUCAUUCCAGGCUUGAGCUUGAUAAUGAUAUUACUUCUAAUGGGCUUUGUAAUGUGCUUUCAUUGAAUUAUGUCAGUAGAGAUGCACAAUGUGCGUACCUGUCAGGUUUAGCUUAACUCGCUGUUAUUGGGGUAGUAGAAUGAGCCCUCCAAGCUUGCUAAAUAUUUUUUUAUAUAAGUACUGCAUGCCUGAUUAUUCUUAUUGCUUAUUAUUUCAGAUUUUAUCAGCUAAUUGUCUCAGCAAAAAAUAUAUUAAGUGUUCCCUUUAUAUUUCAUUUUUUAGCCUCUAUUGUACUCUGCACCCCUAGAAGAAUGAAAUUAGUUUAUGUUCUUACAUACUUAUUUAAAGCAUUUAUAUAAAAGGAAUGCGGUAAUCCAUUUAAAUGAGGGGAUUAUUAUGCCUCCAACUUGUGCUUACCAUGGGUGAGUCAGGAUUCAGGAGGCCUAAUCUACUUAUCCUGCGAAGUCAAGUGAAUGAAUCGCGGGAGAUGCUACUGCUGCUGGUUGGAACGCUGAUGAUCGUGUGUGUGCUUGUUGCCGCUGCUUGCAUGUGGAUGAGUAGUAUAGUGCACAGCUGCAUGAGCUUGGGACAUAUGUGCUUUGAUACAUUGCUUUUUUUCGCUAUGGGCUUUAAUAUUCUACUCCAUUUCCGAGGGAUAAAAAUGUUUGAGGCUACUAUAGUAUAUGUGAAAUAUACAAUUAUUCAUUACUUGUUUUCUUACCAUCUAAUGUGUUUGGCAUUUCUUCUUUCGGAUUUACAUCUCCUCUUUGUGCAGGAGGUACAAGGUCUCACCACAUGUUGAAGUCUACUUUCAGUUAUUCUAUUUUCAUUUUCAUUUUUGUUUCUGUAUUUUUCUGCGUUACAAGGACUUGAGGUGAUUGAUGGGUUGUAGGGCAUGGGGAGCUUCACGAUUAUGCAUUUUUUUUCUAUAUUUAAUAUAUCAUUGUUGUUGUUAAUUUUAUUGUUUGAUUACACAAAGUCAUGGUAACACUGUAUCUAUAGAUUGUGAUACAUGGAGAUGCAUUUUGCAA